rnacentral:rRNA from 1 species
CCUACGGGUGGCAGCAGUGGGGGAUCUUGGACAAUGGGGGGAACUCUGAUCCAGCGACGCCGCGUGAGUGAAGAAGGCUUUCGGGUUGUAAACUUCUUUUAUGAGGGAAGAGCAGAAGACGGUACCUCUUGAAUAAGCCACGGCUAACUCCGUCCCAGCAGCCGCGGGUAUACGUAUGUGGCAAGCGUUGUCCGGAUUUACUGGGUGUAAAGGGCGUGCAGCCGGGAAGACAAGUCAGAUGUGAAACCCCGGGGCUCAACCGCGGAACUGCAUUUGAAACUGUGUUUCUUGAGUACCGGAGAGGACAUCGGAAUUCCUUGUGUAGCGGUGAAAUGCGUAGAUAUAAGGAAGAACACCAGUGGCGAAGGCGGAUGACUGGACGGCAACUGACGGUGAGGCGCGAAAGCGUGGGGAGCAAACAGGAUUAGAUACCCUUGUAGUC